GCCUUCGUGGUGUAGUGGUCAGCACGCUCGGCGUGCAUUCGAGAGGUCUGUAGUUCGAGUCCUGCCGAGGGCA
rnacentral:tRNA from 1 species